AUGAAGGAUUUUCAAGUAGUACCACCUCGCUCCAGAGAAAUCAGUUGUAAGGUAGAGCUAGAAGGCUGUAUCUCAAGAGAGGUUCCUCCGUCUGUAACAGAAGAAUUCUCAAGGGAGCUCCAUGGCUGCUGCCUGAACCUGGACUGGAGAACAUCUGAACACCUGUGCUUCUACAACUCAAUUCCCUGGCUUUUGUUUUGCUGCCAAGAGGGAGUAUUUCAGAAGAACUGAGCUGAAAUCUUGCUCUAAGUGUGAUAGGUAAGUGAUCACAUUCAGCUGUGAGCGGGGAGGGCCAUAAAUAGAGACUAUGUGUUACUCUUGAAUACAUUAAGUAAAUUCACAGCAGCAACUCUUUACACUUUCUAGGCCUCAUAGUAACCUUCAUACCUCAUGCGGCAACUGGCAGAAUGAUUCCACUGACCACCUUCACAAACAAACCCCAGAUCUUUUAGUGUGUGACCUGCCUCUUGGAAGACAUUAUGGCUGAUUGCCACUUGUAGAUGAGGAUAUUUCAAAUAGUUUGGUCAUCUAACCUGCUUUAUAUUAAAAAAUGGGAGAAAACUUGCUCAGAAAGAUUCAGCUGUUAAAGCACCUGUCUGAAUUUCUUAUCAGUCAUAUGGAUGAUAAAUGGGAGGUAUGCCUUUAGCAGGCUGGAAAACACCAAGAGGAAAGAAAUAGAAAUACUUUGCAUAUACAGUGUUGACUAUAAAGUGUAAAAUCUUUAACUAAAAUUACUCAGCUCUUAAGAGCCUGAAAAACUGAUAUUGUGCUGUGGCUUGUCUCCAAAAAAAAAAGCAGGUAUUGAUUAGAUAUGGCCUUACUAACUAGUUUGAUUCUUACCUGAGGUGCUUAAAUAGCUUAAAUGAUCUUAUUGACCUUCAACAUCACUUAUAUUAUUGGAAAAAAAUCACAAGGUUAAUUUUUUAAAAUGUUUUUCACUCAAAUUUAUUUUCUCUCCAUGAAAAUCAGGCAAAUUACUCUGAAACUGAUAGCUAUAGGAUAUGGUUUCUCCACUUCAUUUUGUAAGAAAGUCACUUUCAAGUAGAUUGUGAGUCCUCAGCGACUUCGUGCUUGCAGCAUAUUUCACUCUAGCCCUCUCCAUGGUCCUGUCUAAUCUUUUUAUGGUAUUACUGAUCUCUGAAAGUCAAAUGGUACUUUUGAACAGCCAAAAAGACAUCUAACUGUAUUUACUGCUUCAUUUUCAAGAUCAGGACAAAUUGAACAGAGGAGGCUGUUUUGUGACACGUCAAGAGGCAAUGGACACAAAUUGGCACACAAGAGAAUCAUAGAUUCAUAGAAUAUCUGAGCUGGAAAGGAUCCACAAGAAUCAUGAGUCCAACUCCUAGAUUCCAAAAGGAUCACACAAAACAAAAUAAAACAAACAAACAAAAAAAUCA
rnacentral:lncRNA from 1 species